rnacentral:rRNA from 1 species
AACGAACGCUGGCGGCAUGCCUAACACAUGCAAGUCGAACGAGACCUUCGGGUCUAGUGGCGCACGGUUGCGUAACGCGUGGGAACCUGCCCUUAUGUUCGGCCUACCUCCCCGAAAGGGGUGCUAAUACCGGAUAAUGUCUUCGGCCCAAAGAUUUAUCGCCUUUGGAUGGGCCCGCGUUGGAUUAGCUAGUUGGUAGGGUAAAAGCCUACCAAGGCGACGAUCCAUAGCUGGUCUGAGAGGAUGAUCAGCCACACUGGGACUGAGACACGGCCCAGACUCCUACGGGAGGCAGCAGUGGGGAAUAUUGGACAAUGGGUGAAAGCCUGAUCCAGCAAUGCCGCGUGAGUGAUGAAGGCCUUAGGGUUGUAAAGCUCUUUUACCCGGGAUGAUAAUGACAGUACCGGGAGAAUAAGCUCCGGCUAACUCCGUG